AUGCUCACUUUGGAAGCACAAACACCAAAACUGAACAAUACAGAGGAGAUAAGCAUAGUCCCUGUGCAAGGAUGACACACAAAUUUGUGAAGCAUUCCAUGCUUUC
ensembl:snRNA U6 U6 spliceosomal RNA